AGUGAACGCUGGCGGUAGGCCUAACACAUGCAAGUCGAACGGCAGCACAGUAAGAGCUUGCCCUUACGGGUGGCGAGUGGCGGACGGGUGAGGAAUACAUCGGAAUCUACUUUUUCGGGGGGGAUAACGUAGGGAAACUUACGCUAAUACCGCAUACGACCUACGGGUGAAAGCAGGGGAUCUUCAGACCUUGCGCGACUGAAUGAGCCGAUGUCGGAUUAGCUAGUUGGCGGGGUAAAGGCCCACCAAGGCGACGAUCCGUAGCUGGUCUGAGAGGAUGAUCAGCCACACUGGAACUGAGACACGGUCCAGACUCCUACGGGAGGCAGCAGUGGGGAAUAUUGGACAAUGGGCGCAAGCCUGAUCCAGCCAUACCGCGUGGGUGAAGAAGGCCUUCGGGUUGUAAAGCCCUUUUGUUGGGAAAGAAAAGCAGCAGGUUAAUACCCCGCUGUUCUGACGGUACCCAAAGAAUAAGCACCGGCUAACUUCGUG
rnacentral:rRNA from 1 species